rnacentral:lncRNA from 1 species
CUGAGGCAGGAGAAUCGCUUGAACCCGGGAGGCGGAGGUUGCAGUGAGCUAAGAUCGCACCACUGUACUCCAGCCUGGGCAACAGAGCGAGACCCUGUCUCAAAAAGAAAAAAAAGAAAAAGAAAAAGAAAGAAAGAAAGAGAGAAAGAAAGAAAAAGAAAGAAAGAAGGAAAGAGAAAGAAAGAAAGAAAAGAAAAAAAAUGAAAUCCCAUAUUCAUUAGCAGUCACUACCCGUUUCCCUCCAGCUCCCCCCUCCAGCCAUAGGCAAUCACCAAUCUAUUUUCUGUCUCUAUGGAUUUGCC